CCCUUAGAUGUUCUGGGCCGCACGCGCGCUACACUGACGAAUGCAACGAGCUUAUAACCUUGGCCGAAAGGUCUGGGUAAUCUCCAAAUUUCGUCGUGAUGGGGAUAGAUUAUUGCAAUUAUUAAUCUUCAACGAGGAAUGCCUAGUAAGCGCAAGUCAUCAGCUUGCGUUGAUUACGUCCCUGCCCUUUGUACACACCGCCCGUCGCUCCUACCGAUUGAAUGGUCCGGUGAAGCGUUCGGACCGUGGCCUUUGGACGGUUCGCCGUCUGUUGGCUACGGGAAGUUCGUUAAACCUUAUCAUUUAGAGGAAGGAGAAGUCGUANCA
rnacentral:rRNA from 1 species